CUGAGAACUCUAGGCUGUUUAUUUCCCUGCUCUCAGGGCUGACAAGGCCAUGCAGAAUUCCCAUGUGAAGAUAGAACAUAACCUCCAGGUCCAAGUUCUGCAGGUGGAAAGGAAGGUGCACCAGGAGGCUUGUCUUGGAAGAGAUUCCAGACCCUGUCAAACUGACAGGAACCAUCACACUUCUCUCGAUUACAAGUAAUGGAUUCUGGAGUAUAGCUGGUUCAAAGAAGAACAGGAAGAGUCAUGGCUACAGAGCAUUGCUUCCAAAACCAAAGAAUUCAUCAUACAUGCUUGAAAAGAAAACAAGAGAGGGAGGCAAAAGCUGGAUGACACAGGCACCAAUAAUCAG
rnacentral:lncRNA from 1 species